GAUGAACGCUGGCGGCGUGCCUAAUACAUGCAAGUCGAGCGAACAGACGAGUAGCUUGCUCCUCUGACGUUAGCGGCGGACGGGUGAGUAACACGUGGAUAACCUACCUAUAAGACUGGGAUAACUUCGGGAAACCGGAGCUACUACCGGAUAAUAUAUUGAACCGCAUGGUUCAAUAGUGAAAGACGGUUUUGCUGUCACUUAUAGAUGGAUCCGCGCCGCAUUAGCUAGUUGGUAAGGUAACGGCUUACCAAGGCAACGAUGCGUAGCCGACCUGAGAGGGUGAUCGGCCACACUGGAACUGAGACAAGGUCCAGACUCCUACGGGAGGCAGCAGUAGGGAAUCUUCCGCAAUGGGCGAAAGCUUGACGGAGCAACGCCGCGUGAGUGAUGAAGGUCUUCGGAUCGUAAAACUCUGUUAUUAGGGAAGAACAAAUGUGUAAGUAACUAUGCACGUCUUGACGGUACCUAAUCAGAAAGCCACGGCUAACUACGUG
rnacentral:rRNA from 1 species